CCCUCCCUCCCUCUUUCUUUCUCUCUCUUUCCCUCUUUUUGUCUCUCUCUUUUCUGUCUUUCUCUUUCUCUUUCUCUCUGUCCCUUCCUUCCAUCCCCCCUCUUUCUUUGUCUAUCACUUUUCUUCCUUUCUCUCUCCCUUUUUCUUUCCUUUUUCUCUUUCUUUUCUUUCUUGUCUCUUCCUUCACUCUCUCUCUUUCUCUCUUUCCCUUUCUCUCCCUCCCUCUUUCUUUCUUUCUCUUUCCCUCUCUCUUUCUCUCUCUUUUCCUCUCUCUUUCUGUCACUUCCUUCCAUCCCCCUCUUUCUUUGUCUAUCCUUUUUCUUCCUUUCUCUCUCCCUUUUUCCUUCUUUAUUUUCUUGUCUGUUCCUUCUCUCUUUCUCUUUCUUUCUCUCUCUUUCCCUCUCUCUCUUUCUUUUCUCUCUCUCUCUCUCUUCUCUCUCUCUCUCUCUUUUCUCUCUCUCUCUUUCCCUCUCUCUCUAUCCCUUCUCUAAUCUAUCUACCUAUUUUCUGCCCAGGCAGGUGUGGCCUAAUCUGUCAAAGGCCUUGGCUAAUCCUGUAUCACCCUGUUUCCCCUUUCAGAGCCCCAGCCCUUAAUCUCUCUGUUUCCUUCCCCACGACUGCCUCUUUUGUCAUCCCAGGCCGUGACUUUACCUUCCUCCCGUGGCUGGCUGCCAGGGAAGGCAAGCCAGGGCUGAGCCAUUUUGCCGCUGGGCUCUCCACCAGCCCAUGUCGCCCUUGUCACGAAUACCUGCAGCCGUCACGUGUUUUUUUCAGUGCAGCUGGACUGCAGCCGCACAGAAAAGAUGCGGCAGCUGGAGGCUUUUUGCAGCAAAAAUUACUGACCUCUAGCUUUGCUUGCUCCACUUCUCCAAUGUGUCGCUGUGGCUGCAUUCUAGGCACUGACCCUACAGGUCCACCCCAUUGAACCCGCAAGUCCGAGCGGAGUGGUGCAGCAGUCAAUAGGAUAAGCCUGCAUGGCCGGCAACUAGAAUGCGGUGCUGGUGGUACAUUGGAGAAGGAGAGCAAAGUCAGAGCAUGGUAAUUUUAGCUGCAAAAAGCCUCCAGACACUGUGUGUCAUUUUUGGUGUGGCUGGACUCCAGCCGCACCGAAAAAAAGAUGUGGCAUCUGGAGGCUUUUUGCAGCAAAAAUUACCGACCUCUGGCUUUGUUUACUCCGCUUCUCCAACGCACUGCUGUGGCCAUCAGCGAUUGUCGUGCAUACGCG
rnacentral:lncRNA from 1 species